rnacentral:lncRNA from 10 species
UUGGAAUCUGAUGCCGGCAAGACAGGAUUCUAAAGACAAAAUAGGAGGGCCCAGCAUCAUGAGACCAUGCGCGCAUGAUUUCUACUGUCUGCUAUGACAGUUUCUUCCAGAACAUUAAAGAUUCUAUCACAAGUUUUGUCCUCAGAAGCUGCCAACUUCCUCUUAAAAAAUAAACAAAAACAAAAAUCCUCUGGAAUUCUCAUCCAUUUUGGAAAAAUUUAUAAUUGAAAGUCUGUUGAAGAAAUGUUCAAUUUCUUCUUUCUGAUGUUCUUUCGUACUAAUUUCACUCCCUGAAUAGUAAAUAGAGACUUCCUCCUCAUGAGAGCAAUUACGAAACUUGUUAUAAACACACAAGUGACUUGUAAAAAUAAUGUACACAUUAAAGAUAACUUAACUUCCUAAAAGACAUUUGAAAAGGUCUUCUGAAAACAUUAAGGGAUGAGGAGGUAAUGAAAAUGCAGGAGAUCUUUGAUGAUAAUGUUGUUUGCUAGAGAACGGUAUGAAAUAGAAGUCAGGACAAUGUCAGAGAGAACAUUAUUUACUGAAAUCUGAAAACAACUUCAUUGCAACACUGAGAAAGUUUCAUUUUUAGGUUCCAUAACCCAGUGUGAUCAGAGGAUAUUUGGAUAUUGAAGGAACAGGAAAUAAAGCAGAGUCAUUACUGAGUCUGCUUACCUGAUGAAAAAUUUUACACCACUGCCACAAAAAUGAAGUUCAUAUCUACAUAUCCAAAGUAAGUUUUAGCAAGGAGCAGAAUUGAAUAUUUCAUUCAAUCCAUUAUUCAACAAAUAUUCCCUACCCUGUGAUCAUUUUAUUUUAUUGAUUGGGAAUAAUAUUAAUCACUUAAAAUAUAUGUACUUUGAAUUCAGACAGACCUGGACUUCUGCUCUAGUUCUACCUUAUACUAAUAAUAGCUGGAUCUUGGGUACAUGUGGAGGGUUGAAUUAUUUGCACCAAUAAUUUAUCUAUCUGUAUCUAUACCCUGUGCCAAGCUGCCUUUUGUCCCGGUAGAG